UAGCCAGGGGGCCGGGUUGCUCUGUUGCUUGGAGCGACCCAAGGGUACAGGGAGUACCUUCGACAAGGGCCAGGCUCGGUGCUGG
ncrna:unclassified sequences ivy-DE RNA